ACAUUGGUGGUUCCGUGAUAGAAUUCCUGCUUUCCACGCAGGAGGCCCAGGUUCGAUUCCCAGCCAGUGCA
rnacentral:tRNA from 1 species